ACGCUGCGUACAUACGUACAUACAUACAUACGUACAUACAUACGUACAUACGCGCGAAAAGUCGCAUAUCAACGUACAGACAGAUAGACAGACAGAUAGACAGACAGGUAGAUAGACAGACAUGGGACACUGCCCCACUCCAAGGUCGCACUGCCUACCCCUACCUGCAGUAUGAUGAUCAGAAAGGUCGGGGUGGUGAUCAUCACCCAGAUGCGACCGCAGCUCAGCACGGGCCGACC
rnacentral:lncRNA from 1 species